rnacentral:rRNA from 1 species
UACAGAGGUCUCAAGCGUUGUUCGGAUUCAUUGGGCGUAAAGGGUGCGUAGGCGGCGCGGUAAGUCGGGUGUGAAAUCUCGGAGCUUAACUCCGAAACUGCAUUCGAUACUGCCGUGCUUGAGGACUGGAGAGGAGACUGGAAUUUACGGUGUAGCGGUGAAAUGCGUAGAUAUCGUAAGGAAGACCAGUGGCGAAGGCGGGUCUCUGGGCCGAUACUGACGCUGAGGCACGAAAAGCGUGGGGAGCAAACAGG